AUUUUUGAACACAUUGUCAUCCAAUCAUUUCGUUAAUGAAGAAGCAGCCUUCGAGCCCCGGCCUCGAGCUUCGUAUGAUUCUUAGAGACUUCGCUUCGCUCCGUCUAAUAAUUAGUACAGAAAUUCUGCCGUGCAGUGGGCCUAUCUCUUGGGUCAAGCUUCAUAGCUCUUAGCACGAAUUCCUUAUCUUCCUGACAAAUAUCUCGUGCAGU
rnacentral:sRNA from 1 species